UACGUAGGGACCGAGCGUUGUCCGGAAUCAUUGGGCGUAAAGAGCGUGUAGGCGGCCUUUUAAGUCCUGCGUGAAAUCCUGCGGCUCAACCGCAGACGGUCGUGGGAAACUGGAAGGCUAGAGUGCGGGAGAGGAGAGUGGAAUUCCCGGUGUAGCGGUGAAAUGCGCAGAUAUCGGGAGGAACACCGGUGGCGAAGGCGGUUCUCUGGGCCUGUUCUGACGCUGAGGAGCGAAAGCGUGGGGAGCGAACAGG
rnacentral:rRNA from 1 species